UUUACGUAGGUGAACCUGCGGAAGGAUCAUUACUGAGUGAGGGCCCCUCGGGGUCCAACCUCCCACCCGUGUUUAACGAACCUUGUUGCUUCGGCGGGCCCGCCUCACGGCCGCCGGGGGGCAUUUGCCCCCGGGCCCGCGCCCGCCGAAGCCACCUGUGAACGCUGUCUGAAGUAUGCAGUCUGAGACAAUUAUUAAAUUAAUUAAAACUUUCAACAACGGAUCUCUUGGUUCCG
rnacentral:misc_RNA from 1 species